rnacentral:lncRNA from 1 species
GUUAGGUGUUGCAGCUACAGUUUCUAGCAGAACGAAAAUUUCCAUUCUUUUGUAUACACAUACAUAUGUACAUGUGUAUGCACAUUUCUUGAGUGAUGCAAGAAAAAUAAAUACUCAGCCGAUCAGACAUGAGAAGCACAUAAACAAUUCCUGAAUACUGAAUCACUUCUGCAGAUUAUUUACUUUCUUAUUCAGUUUGUUCUGCAAGAAGGACGGGAGCACUUUCAAGAGACUGAAAAUACUUGGACUUCAAGGUGUAUUUAAAAGCAUC